GGUAUCGAAUUGUUUGGCAAGAGCUGCCGAUAUUUCGAUGUUUUUUUACAUCACUAGUACGAACGCGAACGCGAUUUUUGUGAUGGAUAAAAACAAAGUCCCGUAUAAAUUUAUGAAAACUGUGUAAAAAUGCAGCAAAUGAAUCAGAAAAUCAUUACUAAAUUCUGCAUUGAUUGAGAACUAACAAUUUGGAAUGCAUAAUUAGUGUGACAAAGCAAAAUUAUUUCGAAACGGGCAAACAAAAAGCUCCCAGCCUUCGGUCCUGUAACAAUCGGUCGCUCGGUCGGUCAGUUAAAAGCUUAUGCGUAUGCAAGUUGACGCAGUUUACGAUAACUGUUUUUCGUGACACGAAGUGCCCGCGCUUGCAACACACAAAAUCAA